rnacentral:rRNA from 1 species
AUUGAACGCUGGCGGCAGGCCUAACACAUGCAAGUCGAGCGGAUCUGCGGACGGGUGGGUAAUGACUAGGAAUCUGCCUGGUCGUGUGGGAUGACGUCCGGAAAGGGGCGCUAAUACCGCAUACUAUCAGAUGAGCCUAGGUCGGAUUAGCUAGUUGGUGGGGUAAAGGGCUACAAAGGCGACGAUCCGUAACUGGUCUGAGAGGAUGAUCAGUCACACUGGAACUGAGACACGGCCCAGCCUCCUACGGGAGGCAGCAGUGGGGAAUAUUGGAAAAUGGGCGAAAGCCGGAUCCAGCCAUGCCGCGUGUGUGAAGAAGGUCUUCGGAUUGUAAAGCACUUUAAGUUGGGAGGCGUUACCAACAGAAUAAGCACCGGCUAACUUCGUGCCAGCAGCCGCGGUAAUUC